UACGUAGGGAGCAAGCGUUGUCCGGAAUCAUUGGGCGUAAAGCGCGUGUAGGCGGCCCGGUAAGUCCGCUGUGAAAGUCGGGGGCUCAACCCUCGGAUGCCGGUGGAGUACUGUCGGGCUCGAGUACGGAAGAGGCGAGUGGAAUCCUGGUGUAGCGGUGAAAGUGCGCAGAUAUCUGGAGAACACCGGUGGCGAAGGCG
rnacentral:rRNA from 1 species